GUGAAAUGUUGGGUUAAGUCCCGCAACGAGCGCAACCCUUAUCCUUUGUUGCCAGCGAUUCGGUCGGGAACUCAAAGGAGACUGCCGGUGAUAAACCGGAGGAAGGUGGGGAUGACGUCAAGUCAUCAUGGCCCUUACGAGUAGGGCUACACACGUGCUACAAUGGCGUAUACAAAGAGAAGCGACCUCGCGAGAGCAAGCGGAACUCAUAAAGUACGUCGUAGUCCGGAUUGGAGUCUGCAACUCGACUCCAUGAAGUCGGAAUCGCUAGUAAUCGUAGAUCAGAAUGCUACGGUGAAUACGUUCCCGGGCCUUGUACACACCGCCCGUCACACCAUGGGAGUGGGUUGCAAAAGAAGUAGGUAGCUUAACCUUCGGGAGGGCGCUUACCACUUUGUGAUUCAUGACUGGGGUGAAGUCGUAACAAGGUAACCGUAGGGGAACCUGCGGUUGGAUCACCUCCUUA
rnacentral:rRNA from 1 species